rnacentral:piRNA from 1 species
UGAAUUGGGCCAUCUAGCUCUCUCUAGCAC